CGUAGGUGGCAAGCGUUGUCCGGAUUUAUUGGGUUUAAAGGGUGCGUAGGCGGCUCUAUAAGUCAGUGCUGAAAUAUCCCGGCUUAACCGGGAGGGUGGCAUUGAUACUGCAGAGCUUGAGUAAAGUUGAGGUUGGCGGAAUUGACGGUGUAGCGGUGAAAUGCUUAGAUAUCGUCAAGAACACCUAUUGCGAAGGCAGCUAACUAAGCUUUAACUGACGCUGAGGCACGAAAGUGUGGGGAUCAAACAGGAUUAGAUACCCUGGUAGUCCACGCCCUAAACUAUGGAUACUCGACAUUUGCGAUACACUGCAAGUGUCUGAGCGAAAGCAUUAAGUAUCCCACCUGGGAAGUACGAUCGCAAGAUUG
rnacentral:rRNA from 1 species